UAACAAUCAGUGGUGGUAUGGUGGGCCUUUCCCUCACACAGCUUGAUUCUGACUGAAGGGGAGAUAGUGGUGUUUUACAGGCACUACAAUUCUCAACUUGGAGACGUUAAAGCCACCGAGGUGAACCGUCAUUCACCAAGGUGAACCGUUAAUAUUUUACAUUAAGCACUCAUUAAAAAAUUUUUUUUAAAAAAUAAAAAGAUUUUGCAACAUUUGGUAUAAUGCCCUGCACAUCUAUUCAAAAUUAUUUUGCUUUCUUUUUAUCAGCAAACAUUCCCA